rnacentral:rRNA from 1 species
UACGUAGGGGGCGAGCGUUGUCCGGAUUUAUUGGGCGUAAAGAGCGUGUAGGCGGCCAGGUAGGUCCGUUGUGAAAACUCGAGGCUCAACCUCGAGACGUCGGCGGAAACCCUCUGGCUAGAGUCCGGAAGAGGAGAGUGGAAUUCCAGGUGUAGCGGUGAAAUGCGCAGAUAUCAGGAAGAACACCCGUGGCGAAGGCGGCUCUCUGGGACGGUACUGACGCUGAGACGCGAAAGCGUGGGGAGCAAACAGG